rnacentral:rRNA from 1 species
GAUGAACGCUGGCGGCGUGCUUAACACAUGCAAGUCGAACGGUGAAGGUGGGAGCUUGCUCCUGCUGGAUCAGUGGCGAACGGGUGAGUAACACGCGAGUAACCUGCCCCGGACUCUGGGAUAAGCGUUGGAAACGACGUCUAAUACCGGAUACGAGACGAGAAGGCAUCUUCAUCGUCUGGAAAGAUUUUUUGGUCUGGGAUGGACUCGCGGCCUAUCAGGUUGUUGGUGAGGUAAUGGCUCACCAAGCCUACGACGGGUAGCCGGCCUGAGAGGGUGACCGGCCAGACUGGGACUGAGACAGGGCCCAGACUCCUACGGGAGGCAGCAGUGGGGAAUAUUGCACAAUGGGCGAAAGCCUGAUGCAGCAACGCCGCGUGAGGGACGACGGCCUUCGGGUUGUAAACCUCUUUUAAUAGGGAAGAAGCGAAAGUGACGGUACCUGCAGAAAAAGCACCGGCUAACUACGUGCCAGCCGCCGCCGUAA